UGAGGAAUAUUGGUCAAUGGGGGCAACCCUGAACCAGCCAAGUCGCGUGAAGGAUGAAGGUCUUAUGGAUUGUAAACUUCUUUUACACGGGAAUAAAGCGGGGGACGUGUCCCCCUUUGCAUGUACCGUGUGAAUAAGGAUCGGCUAACUCCGUGCCAGCAGCCGCGGUAAUACGGAGGAUCCGAGCGUUAUCCGGAUUUAUUGGGUUUAAAGGGUGCGCAGGCGGGAUGUUAAGUCGGCGGUGAAAUUUUGCAGCUCAACUGUAAAAGUGCCUUCGAUACUGGCCUCCUUGAGUGUGGAUGAAGUAGGCGGAAUUUGUGGUGUAGCGGUGAAAUGCUUAGAUAUCACGAGGAACUCCGAUUGCGCAGGCAGCUUACUAAGCCACAACUGACGCUCAUGCACGAAGGCGUGGGGAUCAAACA
rnacentral:rRNA from 1 species